UUUGGUAUAUGCCUUUUUCCUUCAGCAUGGCCUUUAUGAGAAGAAAAAGACCUCAAGAAAACAGCGAAAGGAACGCAAGAACAGAAUGAAGAAAGUCAGGGGGACUGCAAAGGCCAAUGUUGGCGCUGGCAAAAAGAAAUGAAGUGUCUAGCAGUGAGCUGGAGAUUGGACAACAGAAGGAGUAAAGAUUCUGCAGUGACUUUAUCUGUAUCUGUGGUGAUUAUGCAGAUUUUUCAUGCAGAUUUUUCAUGCGAGGAUUAAUAAAACCUUUUAUGUGUCUGGCUGUUUGAAAUAUGUUUGAAGUUUACUAGGAGUAUUAUAACAUUAGUCUUCUCUUAUAGCAAACUUAGAUGCUACCCAAGUUGACAUGUUCCAUUAAGCAUUCAAUAAAAGCUGGGUGUGAUGGGGU